UGAAUCUCGAGACCUUCGGCCGAUCGACUGGGCAAAGACGCAGUGCCUGCCAAUAGUCAGCUGGGAUUGGAAUUCGAUGAUAUAGCCACACAAAUAUGUUAUUCUGAUUAGCCGUAUAUGUGGAACUAAGCUUCUUCUCUUUCUUUCUUUUUCUACGUUGCCGCUUCCCUCCGCCGUCUUCCCUCAUCUGUCCUCAGCCGUCGACGCCAUCCUUCUACUCCAUCGUAGCUCUCCGCCGUCGACGACGGCCAUAGCUCGCCGGGAACUCUGGCUGUCCUCUGUCUGUCGCUCUCUAUCUUCGGCUGUAUCUCUGUCCGUCGCUCUCAUCAAUCUUCGUCUGCGUGUCUGUGUCUCCCUCGUCUGUCCUCAGCUCCUCUGUCGCUCUCUAUCUUCGGCUGUGUCUCUGUCUCGCACGUAAUCUGGAUCUGCGGUUUAUGAGUGGAAGAAUGGAGGUUGAUUCAAAUGUUGGUGACAAUCCUUCAAUAAAUAUUGGCGAAGAAGUUGAAGAACCUAAGAUGGGUAUGUGUUUUAGCUCAAGGGAAGAGGUGUACACAUUUUAUGGCAAAUAUGCUAAGCAUGUUGGAUUUUCUAUAGCUCAUAGAGCACAACAUUUUGGAGAUGAUGGGCAAUUAAAGAACUUUGCAAUUGAAUGUUCUCGAGCGGGGGAGAGAAAAAAGAGAUCAGAAGUCAACCCUCUGAAGCCAUCUUUGUCCACAAAAAUUGGUUGCAAAGCAAGAGUACGAGGUAGUGUACAAAAAGAUGGGAGAUAUAAACUAACCACAGUUAACCUUGAGCAUAAUCAUGAUUUGAUUCCCACCGACUCACAUCAUUUUGCAAUGAAUAAGAAAAUUCUUACUCCUGUGAAGAGAAGAUUAGAAAUUAAUGAUCAAGUAGGGAUUGGGGUGUCUAGUAAUUUUCAUUCAAUGGUUAUUGAAGCGGGGGGAUACGAGUCAUUAACAUUUGAUAAGCGAGAUGCAAGGAAUUACAUUGAGAGAGGUAGAAGAUUGAGACUUGGGGAAGGUGAUGCCGAAUCACUUCAGAGUUAUUUUAUGAGGAUGCAAGCACAUAGUGAGAGAUUCUUUUAUAUGAUUGAUGUUGAUGAGGAGUUUCGCAUUAGAAACUUAUUUUGGGCUGAUGCAAGGAGUCGGGUGACUUAUGAAGCAUUUGGAGAUGUCGUUUCAUUUGACACAACUUAUCUGACGAACAAAUAUGACAUGCCAUUCGCUCCAUUUGUCGGAGUUAAUCACCAUGGACAGUCCAUUUUGCUUGGUUGUGGAUUGUUAUCUAGUGAAGACACUAACACAUUUGUUUGGCUAUUCAAGUCGUGGUUAAGUUGCAUGUCAAAUCAUCCUCCAAAAGCUAUCAUAACUGAUCAGUGUAGAGCUAUGCAAAGUGCUAUAGAAAUUGUCUUUCCACAAGCUCGACAUCGAUGGUGCUUAUGGCAUAUCAUGAAGAAAAUUCCGGAGAAGUUGAAAGGAUAUGCUCAGUAUGAAGCCAUAAAGUUGGCUAUGCAAAAUGCAGUUUAUGACUGUUUGACAAGAGCUGAAUUUGAGAGUAAAUGGGAAGAGAUGCUUGCAACAUUCAAUCUUUAUGAUAAUGAGUGGUUGGGGUUACUAUAUGAUGAGCGGCAUCGAUGGGUACCUGUCUAUGUUAAAGACAUUUUUUGGGCCGGCAUGUCAAUUACACAACGAAGUGAAAGUAUGAAUGCAUUUUUUGAUGGAUAUGUAAACCCAAAGACUACAUUGAAGCAAUUUAUUGAACAAUAUGACAAUGCCUUGAGAAGUAAGGUAGAGAAAGAGAAGAAAGCAGACUUCAACUCUCGACACAAAUUGUUUGAUUGCCUAACUAUAUAUGGUUUUGAGAAGCAAUUCCAGCAAGCCUACACCAAUGCAAAAUUCAAAGAAGUUCAAGAAGAGUUGAAGAGAUUAGUUUACUGUCAGCCGUUGUUUCUGAAAGAGGAGGGAUCAAUUUCUACUUAUAAUGUCCAAGAAGCGAUGGUAGUUUGUGAGAAGAUGAAGCAUGUGGACUUUGUUGUGUAUUUUAAUUCAACUGAAUGUGAAGUUCAAUGUAUGUGUAGGUUGUUUGAGUUUAGAGGCAUUAUGUGUGCUCACUCACUCGCUGUGCUUGUGAGAAGGUGCAUAAAUGAGGUGCCAAGUAAAUACAUUCUGCCCCGGUGGAGAAAAGAUGUGGAUAGAGAAUAUGCAUGCAUCAAAACCACAUACACCGGCUUUGGGAAUGAUUUCAAUGCAAGUACCUAUGAGAGGAUGAACAAAAAAUUGAUUGCCAUUGUACAACUUGCUAGUAACUCUAAAGGCAAAACUAAAAUUAUAGACCUUGGGUUUGAUGAAAUCAAGGAGAGAGUCAUGAAAGAAGAAUCCGGUGAUGGGAGUAAUUUACCAUGUUCUAGAAAAAGUCCGAUUUGCACCAGUUCUACACAAGGAGCUACUAGUAGGAAGGUGAAAAGGCCAUCAUGUUACCAAACGAAAGAUUACUAAAGUAGAUCAAAUUGUGAAUCGGUUCAAGGCAACGGCAAAAAAAAAAAACAAAAGCAAAGGUGGCUAAGUUGCUUUGAUUUGGAGCUCAAGCUAAAGCUACUGCAUAUACACCGUAUUAUCCUUAUAUGGUUGGCACGCAAAAUAGUAUAUAUGUACCGGUGGCCAAUGGUAUUGGAGGCACGUCUCUUACUCCAUCGGACUUUAUAAGUGGCACACCGAGAAGUUUGAUGAGUGCUCCAACUGAGAUUUAUGGUUCUACAUCUCUAACCUCAUUGAUUUCUAAUGCAUGCACAGCAGGAAGCUUGUAUAUUACAGACAUGUUUGACUAGUUUCGAAGUUUCGAUGUAUUCCAACAGUUUGUUUUUGAGAUUGCAAAUUAUGUUGUCUAUUAAUCUGAGUUUGAAACUUUGUUUUUGAGAUUGAAAUUUAUGUUGCAACUUUGUUAUUGAGAUUCAGCAUGUGGAUUUGUAAAACUUGUUGUGUACUAAUUAUUAAUGAAGUUAUGUUGUUAUUAUUA